rnacentral:tRNA from 1 species
ACCUGGGUGGCUUAGUCGGUUAAGCGUCUGACUUCAGCUCAGGUCAUGAUCUCACAGUUUGUGGGUUAGAGCCCCACAUUGGGCU